GGGACACGUGAAACCCUGUGGGAAGCAGGAGGGACCACCCUCCAAGGCUAAAUACUACCUAGUGACCGAUAGCGUAUAGUACCGUGAGGGAAAGGUGAAAAGAACCCCGGGAGGGGAGUGAAAUAGAACCUGAAACCCUGCACUUACAAGCUGUGGAAGCACAUUUCUUGUGUGACCGCGUACUUUUUGUAGAACGGGCCAACGAGUUACGUUAAGUAGCAAGGUUAAGCACUUAAGGUGCGGAGCCGUAGCGAAAGCGAGUUUUAACUGAGCGUUCAGUUACUUGACGUAGACCCGAAACCGGGCGACCUACCCAUGAGCAGGAUGAAGCGAAAGUAAAAUUUCGUGGAGGUCCGAACCCACGAGCGUUGAAAAGCUCGGGGAUGACUUGUGGGUAGCGGUGAAAUUCCAAUCGAGCCCGGAGAUAGCUGGUUCUCCCCGAAAUAGCUUUAGGGCUAGCCUCAAGGUGAGAGAUACGGAGGUAGAGCACUGAAUGUCCUAGGGGGU
rnacentral:rRNA from 1 species